GGUGUUUAUUAAUAAGUUUGAAACUUUGAGCGUCAAAAUGAUGCACAUGCAAAAUGAUCCAAAUGCGCCUAUUACUUCUGCGGAAAGAGCACAACGAUCUGUAUUUGUUGGGAACAUUCCCUACGAGACAACAGAAGAACAGCUGAGGGAGAUAUUCUCUGCAGCAGGACCAGUUGUUAGUUUUAGGUUGGUGUAUGACAGAGAAACAGGAAAACCCAAAGGUUAUGGCUUCUGUGAAUACCAGGAUGUUGAAACUGCGCAGAGUGCCAUGAGAAAUCUAAACAAUUACGACUUCAAUGGCCGCCCCCUGAGAGUAGGCGUGGCUGCAGGAGAACAGAACAGAGAUGAGAUGAAAGGGUUGCAGCAAGCACUGGGGGGCCCAAUUAUGGAGAGUCCUUAUGGGGACCCCGUAGAACCAGAGAAAGCACCAGAGGCUAUCUCCAAAGCUGUAGCCAGUCUGCCCCCGGAACAGAUGUUUGAACUCAUGAAGCAGAUGAAGUUAUGUAUCCAGAACAAUCCUACGGAGGCCAGAAACAUGCUGUUACAGAACCCUCAGUUAGCCUACGCUCUGCUGCAGGCUCAGAUAGUGAUGAAAAUUGUCGACCCCCAAGUGGCCAUGGCCAUGUUACACAGGGACACUAAACACAUCCCCCCUGCCAGUACCUCCAGCAGUGUUCCCUCCUCCAUCCCUCUCAGUAUACCCCAGGACCAAACAUGGGUAUGCCUGGGCAACCAGGACCGAUAUCUCAGUCUGGCCCAGGGCAGCCACAGAUGGGAGGGCCAGGGGUACGGCCUGAGAUCCGGGACCCAAGGAUGAUGGGCGAGCCACGCAUGAUGGCAGAUCCCCGGGCCAUGGGCCCAAGACCAGGAAUGCCCAUGCCAGUAACCUCACAGACAGGGGCAAUGCCCCGUCUGCCCACUGCGCUUUUGGGCCCAGGUGGUUUAACUGGUGGACUUCCCAAUCUAUCUGGAGGUGCUCAGAUCUCUGCACAGGAUCAAGAAAAGGCGGCCUUAAUCAUGCAAGUGUUACAGUUGACUGAUCAGCAGAUCGCCAUGUUACCCCCGGAUCAGAGAGCUAGCAUCCUUAUUCUUAAGGAACAGAUCUCAAAGAGUGCAGCUCAGUGAACCGUGACUUUUUUAACUAGGACUGUCAUUGUAAUUGUCAAUCAUUUAGUUAGAAUCUAUGAUGUAUCAUUUUAUUUCAUUCAGUAAUAAAGCAUUUCGUGUGGUUUUCUCCCUUAAAAG
rnacentral:misc_RNA from 1 species